rnacentral:rRNA from 1 species
ACGAACGCUGGCGGCGUGCCUAAUACAUGCAAGUCGAGCGCAGGAAGUCAUCCGAACCCUUCGGGGGGACGUUGACGGAAUGAGCGGCGGACGGGUGAGUAACACGUAAAGAAGCUGCGCUCAGGUUUGGGAUAACCACGAGAAAUCGGGGCUAAUACUGGAAGGGUAUUCGGAACGCAUGGUCGGAGGUCGAAAGGCGCCCCGGCGACGCCUGGGGGCGGCUUUGCGGUGUAUUAGAUAGUUGGUGGGGUAAUGGCCCACCAGGGUGACAUUGCAUAGCCGACCGAGGAGGGUGACCGGCCACACUGGAACUAGGACACGGCCCAGACUCCUACGGAAGGCAGAAGUAGGAAAUCUUCCACAAUGGCCGAAAGUCUGCUGGGGCAACGCCGCGUGAACGAUGAGGGCCCUCGGGUCGUAAAGUUCUGUUGUAAGGGAAGAACAAGUGCCGCGGGAAAUGGCGGCUCCUUGACGGUACCUUGCAAAAAAGCCACGGCUAACUACGU